UACGUAGGGUGCGAGCGUUGUCCGGAAUUAUUGGGCGUAAAGGGCUCGUAGGCGGUUUGUCGCGUCGGGAGUGAAAACACUGGGCUUAACUCAGUGCUGGCUUUCGAUACGGGCAGACUAGAGGUAUGCAGGGGAGAACGGAAUUCCUGGUGUAGCGGUGAAAUGCGCAGAUAUCAGGAGGAACACCGGUGGCGAAGGCGGUUCUCUGGGCAUUACCUGACGCUGAGGAGCGAAAGUGUGGGGAGCGAACAGG
rnacentral:rRNA from 1 species